rnacentral:rRNA from 1 species
UACGAAGGGAGCUAGCGUUGUUCGGAAUUACUGGGCGUAAAGGGCGCGUAGGCGGGCUUUCAAGUCGGGGGUGAAAUUCCAGGGCUCAACCCUGGGACGGCCUUCGAUACUGGGAGCCUGGAGAUCGGGAGAGGUGAGUGGAAUUCCGAGUGUAGAGGUGAAAUGCGUAGAGAUGUGGAGGAAUACCGGUGGCGAAGGCAGCCCCCUGGGAUAACACUGACGCUCAUGCACGAAAGCGUGGGGAGCAAACAGG